ensembl:lncRNA
CUUUUGUGAACUCAUGAAUGUGAAAGUCUUUUCUAGUUUAUAAAACACUAUAUGAAUGUGGGAAAAUCUUUACUUGACCUUAGGGCAUGGAGGGUGGAGCACAUUUUGUCUGCUGUUUGGACUUAGAUGCUGAUUAGCAGUUAUAAAGUGGCCCAGACACCUAGCCAUUCUUUAGUAAGAGUGAAGAUAGCAUUUUAAGCCUUGCUUGUGUGCCCAGCAUCUUGCUGAACACUUUCUAGUGAUUCUCUCCUUUAAUCCUCACAAAGAUCUCACAGUUGUCCUCCAUUUUACGGAGAAGAAUACCGAGGCUCACAGAGGUUAAACGAUGUGCAGAGGCCACCUGUAGUGAUGGUGCUGAGUCAAGCCUGUCAACCAUUGUGCUCCUUAGCGACCAAGGCUGCUUUGACAGGCUGCCAGCUUGUCAGUGGUUUGCAGCCCCCGAGAUAUUGUUUUCCUACUUCCCAUGCAGUUGGGGUGCCCCGCCAAGUGCCAGGUUCUCUUUGGAGUCCAUCUGUGCCUUGUCACCCCAAGGAGGGCCUUGAGCAUCACGCUGUGACAUUCCAAAACACAUGUGGUAUCUCUACAACCUUUCAUUCUCAUUGGGAUUUGCCUUGCCAUUUAAACACCAUCAUUUUUUGAGGACUAUCUAGAAAAGGUUGCCUAACCCUCACAGGGAACAUAGAGUCCAAUAUCUUCUGGUUUUUUCUUUUGCAAGAUUUUUUUAAAUGGUUGUGCUAUCAUUUGUCAUCAUCAGAAAAUGCUUGCUGUAACAAGCGUUUAUCUGCACAUUAUGCUGCAGUGAAUGCUCUACUGAUCAAAUUAAACAGAUAAGAUCCCUACCCUUGUAGAAACUACAACUUAAUACACUCUAAGACUUGACAAAUUACUUAGUAUUUAUUUUCCAACUGCUUUAUCUCUGUAAAAUGAUACGCUGAAUUAUUAUAAGCUAAUUGUUGUAGAAAGAACUUUCCCCUUAACUUAUGUAAACAGUCUGGUUUUAAAAAAAUUAAUAAUUGUGGCCUAGUAAGCUCAAAACUUUGCCUUCCCCAAGACUGAGGAACCUCUGUCCUGUUCACCACUGUAUAUUCAGCACCAGGCAAUCUCUUUUAUUUUUUGUUUGUUUUGAAAAAUUAAUACAUAUACAUGGUAAGACAUUCCACAAUACAAAAGGGUAUACAAUAAAUGGUAAGCUUCCCCAUGGAGGUCAGCCUCUAGUCCCCUCUCCAGAGUUAAUCACUGUUAUCUAUAUGUUGUGUAUCCUUUCAGAGCAAUUCUAUGCAUUUACAAGUUUAUAAAUAUGUAUAUUUAUAUAUCUAUUUUUAAUACAAAUAGUAGAAUUCUAUACACAGUGUUCUGAAGCUUGCUUUCUUAUAUAGUAUUUUGGAGAUUAUUCCAAAUUCAUACAUUGGGUCAGAGUAAUUCUUUAAAAGUUCCUUGCAUAUAACAGUGAUUCAAAAAUUAUAUGGAUGAAUGAGUGAAUGCCUGCAUGAAUGAAUGAAUCUGAUUCAAUUGGUAGCUACUGCUGUUCUCUUGGGGUCUGAUCUGAUCAAGACAGCACCUUUUAGAUUCUAGAAUGUGUUCUGACUAAGGGGUUCAGGAUACUAUUCACCUUCUCCAACAGAUGCCACAGGAGCCUUAGGAACUGGGCACAGGAAGUCUUGGGCCCCUGGAGGGAAAAGUUGAGACCCAGGUCCUACUUAAAAUGCUUGGUUUUAAGGUUCCUACUUAAAAUGCUUUUUUCUUUAUUGGAAAAUGAUGUAACAUUUUAGAGAAAAUUAAA